rnacentral:lncRNA from 1 species
UUUUUUUUUUUUUUCUCCUAAGAGCUAGUCACCUUUGUAUGAAAAAAAAUCUCAGAGUUCCCGUGUGGCUCAGUGGGUUAAGAACCCAACAUAGUAUCCAUGAGGAUGCAGGUUUGAUCCCUGGCCUCAUUCAGUGGGCUAAGGAUCCAGUGUUGCUGAAAGCUGCAGUCAGUGUAGGUCACAGAUGAGGCUUGGAUCCAGUGUUGCCAUGACUGUGGUGUAGGCUGGCAGCUGCAGCUCUGAUUCAGUCCCUAACCUGGGAACGUCCUUAUGCUGCAGGUGCUGCCAUUAAAAAGCAAAAAAAAAAAAAAAAAAAAAAAGAAUUUUGAUAAAUUUUUGGAAGGUAGAAAAUAUGAAUUAAUGAGAAAUCUACUUAUCAAAAAGUAGAGAAAAUUGUAAACAUAAGAGCCUAGAAAAGGGCUGGGAACCAGACCUGAGUCACUUAUCCUGGAGAGGUCAGCUCAGGGUCACCAAGCAGGAGAAGGGAGUGGGGAGUGGGGCUGAAACCAGAGGUAGAGUGGUAGUAAGAACAUGCCUUUGGGUUGCUUGCUCACCCCACCCCCUGCUUGAUAGUGGUCAGCCAAGAGCAAGUCGUAUCCCUGUCUCUCUCCUCCUCCACUGCAGUCCAUUCCUCUAAUUCCACUACCACCAGACCAUCAGUUGUACUCACAUUCCUUCUGUUGAAAAGAACUGGUCAAAAUGUUCUUCCUGGAUGCAGGGGGAGGUGGAAGAUGCCGUCCAGGGCCUGCGUGGGCUGCCCACCACUCCUCUGUGCUGGGGAAAGAAGAUCUGCCUUUUGAUGGCCCAAUAGCAGCAUAUGCCACACUCUCUAAGGUGCAUCAUCCUAAAAUUUCAGAACACUGGGAAUAAAGAUCCUAAAAGCUUCCCAGUUGAAAAACCUGGCCACUUCAUGUUCUAAGGAUCAGCAAUCUGCCCGGCAUCAGACUUGAAAACAGCAAUACAGGAUACCAGAAGACAGUAGGGUAAUACCCUCAAAAUUCAGAAAUAAAAUAUUUUAUAACUGGAAAGUUUAUGCCCAGCCAAAUUCUCACCAAAUGUAAGGGGGAAAUACAUUUUCAGACAUGCAAGUCUUGAAUAAUUUGCCCAUUAUGCAUCACUUGGGCGGAAGCUACCAAAGAGCAUAAUUCAACACAAUGUGGAGUAAAUAAGAAAGAGGAAGAUGUGGGAUUCAGAAAAAAGCAGAGGAUGCACCCAAGAGAAUGGGGAGUGGGAAGUUCUAGGAUGAUAGAUGUUAUCACACCUGGCAAGAAAGCAUCCUGGGACAGAGGCCUGUGCAAGUGUGAAAGAGAAUUGUACAACUAUAAUUGUGAUAAAUUCAUUUUAUUAAAAAUAAAAAAAAAUUUUAAAAAGCUAAAUAAUAUAUGAUGACAUGAACAACCAGAUAGUGAAAACAAAACAAAGUUAAGAGAAGUGGGUCCAAUGCAUUACCACUUUGGGGGACAAAUCAGUGUAUGUGCCAACAUAUUCAUAUGCAAAAGCAUUUAAUCUUGUGAAUGUGCCAUUUCUGGAAUGCUAUACAAAGAACUGUUAAACAUGACUGCUUCUAUGAAGAGGAACUGUGAUUAGGAGAGAAGGAAAAGGAAGUGACUUACUUUUCACUACACACCAUUGUGUUAUUUAAAAUGUUAUGCUAUGGGCUGGUUGGGGAACUGGCAUUGUCACUGCUGUGGCUCAGGUCUGAUCUGCAUGACAUAAUUGUGGACAAAAAAUAAAUAAAAUGUUAUGCUAGUAAAUAUAUUACCUAUUCAAAUGAAUGAUUUUUUAAAAAUUUUAUUGACGUAUAGUUGAUUUAUAAUGUGUUAAUUUCUACUGUAGAGCAGUGAUUCAGUUAUAUAUAUUUUUCAUAUUCUUUUCCAUUAUGGUUUAUCACAGGAUAGUGAAUAUAGUGCCCUAUGCUAUACAGUAGGACCUUGUUAUCUCUCCUAUGUAUAAUACAUUGCAUCUGUUAAUCCCAAACUCUCAAUCCUUCCCUCCCUACCCCUUCAAGCCCCUUGGCAACCACAAGUCUGUUCUCUAUGCCUGUGAGUCUGGUUCUGUUUCACAGGUGUGUUCAUCUGUGUCGUAUUUUAGAUUUCACAUAUGAGUGAUACUGUAUGGUAUUUGUCUUUCUCUUUCUGACUUACUUCACUUAGGAUAAUAAUCUCUAGGUCCAUUCAGAUGAAUAAUUUACUAAAGGGAUGGAAAAACCAAACUGGUAACAGGAAGAAAAAAACAGCAACAAUAGAAUUAGCCCCCUUAAUAUCUUAGCUUAAUACAUCGUCUUAAGAUGUCAUUUCAGUAUUUUUAGCAUUUUUCCUUUAGGUGGCAGCAGCUGCAUUUUUUUGGUACUAUGCAUCUGUCUAGUCUUGAGGAUGAGUUCAACAAUAGUGUUUGGAUGUCUCAUUUCUCCUUUUCAUAAGAAAAAAAUGCCUUAAAAUCUUUAAGUACACAUUGAUCAAAUGUGUGGUCUGGAAAUUCUCCUAGUAUUAUUAUGUAACAUAAUAAUAAAUUAAAAAGCAGAUUACAAAUUUGAGGAAAUGUAAAACAGACUGGGAAGAUACUCACUAAAAUGUUAACAAUGAUUAUAAUCUCUGAGUAGUAGAACAAUUAAUAGGUGACUAUGUUUUUCUCUUUGUGCCUUUCCAAAUUUCCUGCAAUGAACAUGGUUUGUUUUUUGGAGGUUCCCUGGUCAGGGGUCGAAUUGGAGCUGUAGCCGCUGGCCUACACCACAGCCACAGCAACACAGGCUCUGAGCCUUGUCUGCGACCUACACCACAGCUCACAGCAAUGCCAGAUCCUUAAUCCACUGAACAGGGCCAGUGAUCAAACCCACAUCCUAAUGGAUGCUAAUCAGAUAUAUUUCCACUGCACCACAACAGCAAUUCCAUGGAGUUUUUCUUUAAUUUUUUUUUUUUUUUUAAUGGCCCACCUGUGGCUCAUGGAAGUUCCCAGGCUAGGGGUCAAAUCAGAGCUGCAGCUGCUGGCCUACACCACUGCCAUAGCAACACUGGAUCCGAGCCACAUGUGACCUAUGCCACUGCUUGCAGCAGUGCUGGAUCCUUAACCCACUGAAUGGGCCAGGGAUGGAACCUGCAUCCUCAUGAGACAAUAUCAGGUGCUUAACCCACUGAGCCACAGCAGGAACUCCAAACAUGGUAUUUUUAAACACUUUAUCCUCCAAAUCUAGUGGGCUUGAAUGUCAUCUGGCAGCCAAACAUUUACAAUAUCACUAAGCUCUAACUUAACUGUGGGAUGAAAAUAAUGACAGAAACUUUGGGCACAUUCUAGGACAGUUGAAGGAGAGAUUGCAGGGGUAAAGGAUUUUUUUAAUACUCCUCAAGUCCAGAGGCAGACUUACUAUGAAGUUACUAAAGCCUAUGCUUCAGGGGAUCUGCUUCGCUUGCUCUGAUCCCUUCCAAAACACUCUAUCUCAUUUUGAAUUCAUAAUUUUGUAUUCUUUUCCUUGCAGGGCCCAUAAAUAAUCCAAUUACAGAACCUACCAUACCAAGAUCCAUCAUGGCCAAAGCACAUCAAAAUACUCUGACAAUUUCUUAAAUGUCUUUGGGUGAGACAGUCUAGUUAUAAUCUGUUCUGAGGGGAUGGGGGAGGAUACUGAUAAGCUCCCCACUACACUGGGAGGCCAGGCCUCGCAUACACUUGCACCCCUGUUGCCUGGUGCACAUCUGGUGCAUUUCAGAUAUCCAAAGACAGACCGUUUGUAGCACUGUUGACCAACAGUGAGUUUUCAGGAAGAGGUAAACGGCUUCCUAACCAAGUCCUUAGUUCUGGAGUAGUUGAGAGGCAGUGCCUGUAGAGCUAUAUCCAAUGACUAGCAGAAAGGAUGCUGUCAUCUCAAAUGAACAGGGCCACAGCAUGACUCCUGGUCCCCAGAAGAGCCUGUGGGAAUGGUGAGGUAAGUCAUCUCAAUGGGACCAUACAGGCUGGCUCUGCGCUGGAUGAAGAAAAGGACCCCCUUCUCCUCUCUUUGAAAAGAUUCAUGAGCAUAUUUACCUAUGAAACAGAAAAGAAAACAAAUCUGGAUGGGACUUACAAAUCUCCCAAAUACAGAAAUGCAAAGUAGCAUGGGACACCAAAGAAGAGUGAGAAUAAAAUAGUAAGAUGCCACACUAUUGUAUAUAGAAGGGAUGGCCAGUGGGGACCUGCUUUAUGGCACAGGGAACUCUAUUCAAUAUUCUGUGAUAACCUCUAUGGGAAAAGAAUCUGAAAAAGAAUGGAUGUGUGUUCAUGGAUAACUGAAUCAUUUUGCUGUACAGAAGAAAUUAAUAGCAUAUUGUAAAUCAACUCUAUUCCAAUAAAAUUAAAAAAAAAAAAGUCAGGUGCCCAUACGACUCAGCACUUCCAUUUCUGGAUAUACCCAUAAGGAAUGACAGCAGGGAUUUGAACAUACAUUUGUACACCCAUGUUCAUAGCAACAUUACUCACAAUAGCCCAAAAGUGAAACUGUGUCCAUCAAUAGAAGAAAAGAUAAACAAAAUGUGUAUAGAUACAGUAGUUCCCACUGUGGCACAACAGAAGCAAAUCUGACUAGUAUCCGUGAGGACGCAGGUUCAAUCCCUGACCUCACGCAGUGGGUUGAGGAUCUGAUGUUGCUGUGAUCUGUGAUAUAGUUCCAGGUACAGCUCAGAUGUGGUGUUGCUGUGGCUGUGUUAUAGGCUGGCAGCUGCAGCCCCAAUUCAACCCCUAGCCUGGGAGCUUCCAUAUGCUGCAGGUGCAACCCUAAAAAGGGGAGGGAAAAAAAGCAAAAAAAAAAAAAUAUAUAUAUAUAUAUGUGUGUGUGUAUACAUACAAUGAAUAUUAUUCAAUCUUUAAAAAGAAUGGAAUUCUAACACGUUACACUGAAACUUGAGAACACUAUACUAUAUGAAACAAGCCACCCACAAAAGGACAAAUAUUAUAUGAUUUCACUUAUUUGAGGUAUCUGGAGUAAUCAAAUUUAUAGACACAGAAUGAAUGUAGAAUGGUGGUGGCUAGGGACUGGGGUGGGGGAAUGGGGAAUUAUUGUUUAAUGGGUAGGGGGUUUCAAAUUUUUGAGACAAAGAGUUCUGGAGACGGAUACUGGUGAUGGUUAUACAACAGUGUGAAUAUACUUAAAGCCUCUGAACUGUACACUUUAAAAUGGU